UACAGAAGGUGCGAGUGUUAAUCGGAAUUACUGGGCGUAAAGGGUGCGUAGGUGGUUUUGUAAGUUAGGUGUGAAAGUCCCGGGCUUAACCUGGGGAUUGCGCCUGAUACUGCAAAGCUAGAGUACUGUAGAGGAAAGUGGAAUUUCCAGUGUAGCGGUGAGAUGCGUAGAUAUUGGAAGGAACAUCAGUGGCGAAGGCGACUUUCUGGACAGAUACUGACACUGAGGCACGAAAGCGUGGGGAGCAAACAGG
rnacentral:rRNA from 1 species